UACGGAGGGUGCAAGCGUUGUCCGGAAUCACUGGGCGUAAAGGGAGCGUAGGCGGACAGUUUAGUCAGAGGUGAAAGCCCAGGGCUCAACCUUGGAAUUGCCUUUGAUACUGACUGUCUUGAGUACGGGAGAGGUGUGUGGAACUCCGAGUGUAGAGGUGAAAUUCGUAGAUAUUCGGAAGAACACCAGUGGCGAAGGCGACACACUGGCCCGUUACUGACGCUGAGGCUCGAAAGCGUGGGGAGCAAACAGG
rnacentral:rRNA from 1 species